rfam:Rattus norvegicus chromosome 19, whole genome shotgun sequence.
UCACUGGAUGUUCUCACAUCCACACUCACACACCUCUAGAUGCUU